UGCAGUCGAGCGGACGGAUGGGAGCUUGCUCCCUGAAGUCAGCGGCGGACGGGUGAGUAACACGUGGGCAACCUGCCUGUAAGACUGGGAUAACUCCGGGAAACCGGGGCUAAUACCGGAUAACUCUUUUCCUCACAUGAGGAAAAGCUGAAAGAUGGUUUCGGCUAUCACUUACAGAUGGGCCCGCGGCGCAUUAGCUAGUUGGUGAGGUAACGGCUCACCAAGGCCACGAUGCGUAGCCGACCUGAGAGGGUGAUCGGCCACACUGGGACUGAGACACGGCCCAGACUCCUACGGGAGGCAGCAGUAGGGAAUCUUCCGCAAUGGACGAAAGUCUGACGGAGCAACGCCGCGUGAGUGAUGAAGGUUUUCGGAUCGUAAAACUCUGUUGUCAGGGAAGAACAAGUACCGGAGUAACUGCCGGUACCUUGACGGUACCUGACCAGAAAGCCACGGCUAACUACGUGCCAGCAGCCGCGGUAAUACGUAGGUGGCAAGCGUUGUCCGGAAUUAUUGGGCGUAAAGCGCGCGCAGGCGGUUCCUUAAGUCUGAUGUGAAAGCCCCCGGCUCAACCGGGGAGGGUCAUUGGAAACUGGGGAACUUGAGUGCAGAAGAGAAGAGUGGAAUUCCACGUGUAGCGGUGAAAUGCGUAGAGAUGUGGAGGAACACCAGUGGCGAAGGCGACUCUUUGGUCUGUAACUGACGCUGAGGCGCGAAAGCGUGG
rnacentral:rRNA from 2 species